rnacentral:rRNA from 1 species
UGGGACUGAGACACGGCCCAGACUCCUACGGGAGGCAGCAGUGGGGAAUAUUGCACAAUGGGCGCAAGCCUGAUGCAGCGACGCCGCGUGAGGGAUGACGGCCUUCGGGUUGUAAACCUCUUUCGCCAGGGACGAAGCGCAAGUGACGGUACCUGGAUAAGAAGCACCGGCUAACUACGUGCCAGCAGCCGCGGUAAUACGUAGGGUGCGAGCGUUGUCCGGAAUUAUUGGGCGUAAAGAGCUCGUAGGCGGUUUGUCGCGUCGGCCGUGAAAUCUCCACGCUUAACGUGGAGCGUGCGGUCGAUACGGGCAGACUUGAGUUCGGCAGGGGAGACUGGAAUUCCUGGUGUAGCGGUGAAAUGCGCAGAUAUCAGGAGGAACACCGGUGGCGAAGGCGGGUCUCUGGGCCGAUACUGACGCUGAGGAGCGAAAGCGUGGGGAGCGAACAGGAUUAGAUACCCUGGUAGUCCACGCUGUAAACGUUGGGCGCUAGGUGUGGGCGACAUUCCACGUUGUCCGUGCCGUAGCUAACGCAUUAAGCGCCCCGCCUGGGGAGUACGGCCGCAAGGCUAAAA